GUUACUUAGGGAGAGCCCGGCCCCUGAUUCCGGCCCGUACCGAGGGGGCGGGGUCUUAGCGAGCCCCGCCCAGCUUGGGAAGCCUGCAAAAUCCCUCCAGAACAAAGCUCAGCCUGCGGCAUGACUCAGCAAUACAGGGUCUGCGUGCAUUCCCAGCUCUGGUAGCUUCUACAGAAUGGAAGGAAGUUUGUUUCAGCCACACCAGGGGGCAGUGUGACACACGUCUGCAUGGCCAUCAAGGCAGGCCUUCCUGUUUAGUGAAGUUAGCCAAAGAGUGAGUGCUGGAGACGUGACACAUGACUGGACUAAGAAGAGAAAAUUUCUCCUGAAUAUUUUGUUCUCCUAGCACCUAGUUCCAAUAAGUUUGUGAAAGCUGAAUUGGAGAAGAUCUAAUUGAGUUGUCAGCUGAUGGAUCACAGAAAUAGUACUUGGAGAUAUGCUACUGUGUGGUUUUGGCAUGUAAAGUGGAAGAAGUUCAAAGAGUUGAGUGACAUUUUAUAGCAAAUUAUGCUCCAAUACUGUCUAUUUAUAUAUAUGAAUAAAGAUUCCCAGAGUUCCCAAAAAACAUAUUAGAAUUGGUACCAAGCCCAAUCUCAUUAUAGCAAUAAAUA